rnacentral:rRNA from 1 species
ACCUGCGGAAGGAUCAUUACCGAGUGCGGGCUGCCUCCGGGCGCCCAACCUCCCACCCGUGACUACCUAACACUGUUGCUUCGGCGGGGAGCCCUCUCGGGGGCGAGCCGCCGGGGACUACUGAACUUCAUGCCUGAGAGUGAUGCAGUCUGAGUCUGAAUAUAAAAUCAGUCAAAACUUUCAACAAUGGAUCUCUUGGUUCCGGCAUCGAUGAAGAACGCAGCGAACUGCGAUAAGUAAUGUGAAUUGCAGAAUUCAGUGAAUCAUCGAGUCUUUGAACGCACAUUGCGCCCCCUGGCAUUCCGGGGGGCAUGCCUGUCCGAGCGUCAUUGCUGCCCAUCAAGCCCGGCUUGUGUGUUGGGUCGUCGUCCCCCCCGGGGGACGGGCCCGAAAGGCAGCGGCGGCACCGUGUCCGGUCCUCGAGCGUAUGGGGCUUUGUCACCCGCUCGAUUAGGGCCGGCCGGGCGCCAGCCGACGUCUCCAACCAUUUUCUUCAGGUGACCUC